CAAAAUGGUCACAAUUAUGGUGGAGUAAUAACAAGCCUCACGAAUUUCUGGUGAUAAUCUCCUCAUAAAACCAGUGUUGUAUCCAUAACACUGAGACACCAUUCCCACAACGAAGCUGGCCGUACCCAAAAGGUUAUUUGUUACCGGGUCUAGCAUUUGGAAUAAAAUGUCGAUAAUGUACCAACGGAUAUGAUGCCGGUUAGUCCAUGCGUUGAUGAGAAAUGUGGUCUAUUUCUUAGUGCAUUACCAUGAUAACCGAAUCCGGACCAUAAAUUUUCACCAGCUAGGACCACAAUGCCCUCUCCCAUCAGUAGAACGUACUACGUUAACGAAAUAAGAAGAGAAUACAGAAUAAUAAAGAAUACUAAUAAAUUCUUGUACACUCUGUCUGUACUUACUCCAACGGAACACAGGAGAACAUGAAGAGACCAUACGCCGGUGCCCCAGGAAAUAUAAAUAAGGCUUAGUAAAACCGAUGUGUUCUCAACGCUCGUCUCGUCAGUAGCCAUGACGAAGAUGCAUCGAACUUAUACAGCAGUUGGUAAAUAUUAAUUAAUUAAUUAUUAAGUAAGAC